rnacentral:rRNA from 1 species
GAGUUUGAUGAUGGCUCUGAGUGAACGCUGUCCAAAUGCUUGACACAUGCUAAUCGUACGACUAAUUUAUUGCUAUAUUAAUUAUAUAAUAUUAUUAGUAGUGGUGUACAGGUGAGUAAAAGAUGAGUUAAUUGCCUUAAAGUAAGGAUGAUAAGAUCCCUUAUAAUUUUUACAGGGUAAAAAUAAAAAAAGAAAUAGAAGAUUUCGCUUUAAGAUGUUAGUUUAUCCCGAAAGAGUAAUAGUAAAAUCUAGCUCGGGUUUCGGUAGUCGUGACUGAGAGGUCGAUCGACCACAUUGGGUCUGAAAAAAGCCCAAUGCGUAACGUACAGCAGUGGGGAAUAUUGGUCAAUGGUCUAAGGACUGAACCAGCAAUUUGGAGGAAUGUAAAACGAAUAAGUCGUUUAAAGUUCUAGAUAAAAAAUUGAUAAUGACUAAAUUUUAUCUAUAAGUCUUGACCAAAUUACGUGCCAGCAGUCGCGGUAAUACGUAGAAGACAAGUGUUAUUCAUCUUUAACAGGUUUAAAGGGUACCUAGACUGGAAAUCAAGCCAUAGAAGGGACUAAUUUCCUACUAGUUUAUAAAUGAAAGUGUAAGCAUUCCACCUCAUGAGUAAAGCGGCAACGCCGAAAUUGAAAUCAUUAGACCGUUUCUGAAACCAGUAGUGAAGUAUGUUAUUUAAUUCGAUGGUCCGCGAAAAACCUUACCACCUCUUGAAUAUUUUUACAAGCGCUGCACGGCUGUCUUCAGUUAAUGUCGUGAGAUUUUGGUUUGUUCCAUUAAUUAACGAAAACCCUUGCUUUAUUUUAUAUUUAAAGCAGUUCACCGUUAUAUUGGAUAGGAUAAACGGGAUCAAGACAAGUCAUCAUGGCCUUAAUGAGUGUGGGCUAUAGAUGUGCCACAUAUGCCUUUACAAAGGGAAGCAAUAUUGUGAAAUGGAGCUAAUCCUCAAAAUUGGACAUAACUAUUCGUGAAUUGUAGUCUGAAACUCGACUACAUGAAUAAGGAAUUACUAGUAAUCGUGUAUCAUCACGUCACGGUGAAU